rnacentral:rRNA from 1 species
GUGGGGAAUAUUGGACAAUGGGCGAAAGCCUGAUCCAGCCAUGCCGCGUGUGUGAAGAAGGUCUUCGGAUUGUAAAGCACUUUAAGUUGGGAGGAAGGGUAGUAACCUAAUACGUUGCUACUUUGACGUUACCGACAGAAUAAGCACCGGCUAACUUCGUGCCAGCAGCCGCGGUAAUACGAAGGGUGCAAGCGUUAAUCGGAAUUACUGGGCGUAAAGCGCGCGUAGGUGGUUCAGUAAGUUGGAAGUGAAAUCCCCGGGCUCAACCUGGGAACUGCUUUCAAAACUGCUGGGCUAGAGUACGGUAGAGGGUGGUGGAAUUUCCUGUGUAGCGGUGAAAUGCGUAGAUAUAGGAAGGAACACCAGUGGCGAAGGCGACCACCUGGACUGAUACUGACACUGAGGUGCGAAAGCGUGGGGAGCAAACAGGAUUAGAAACCCUAGUAGUCC